rnacentral:rRNA from 1 species
UACGGGGGGAGCAAGCGUUGUUCGGAUUUACUGGGCGUAAAGGGCGCGCAGGCGGCCUCGCGCGCCCGACGUGAAAGCCCCCGGCUUAACCGGGGAGGGUCGUUGGGGACGGCGGGGCUUGAGGGCGGGAGAGGGUGGUGGAAUUCCCGGUGUAGUGGUGAAAUGCGUAGAGAUCGGGAGGAACACCCGUGGCGAAGGCGGCCUUCUGGACAGUGACUGACGCUGAGACGCGAAAGCGUGGGGAGCAAACAGG